rnacentral:rRNA from 1 species
CGAGACGUGACGGUAAUAACGGAGGAGGUGGGAUGACGUCAAAUCAUCAUGCCCCUUAUGACCUGGGCUACACACGUGCUACAAUGGUUGGUACAACGAGUUGCGAGUCGGUGACGGCGAGCUAAUCUCUUAAAGCCAAUCUCAGUUCGGAUUGUAGGCUGCAACUCGCCUACAUGAAGUUGGAAUCGCUAGUAAUCGCGGAUCAGCACGCCGCGGUGAAUACGUUCCCGGGCCUU